CAAGGCAGCGGCAUGGGCAGGGUGAGGGAGCGAAGUUGCAGGCGGCUCCUGCCGGGGCUGGCUGGGCAGGACGCGGGGCGCCCGAGGCUCGGGGGCGCCUAGCGGAGCAGCGCCGCGGACGGGCCGAGCCCCGGGGGAGGCAGAGACAGGAGCUGCCAGCGCCUCCGAAGUUGAGGUCAGUGUGCUGGGGUGGGAGGUUGUUGCUGGCUUCCUGGAAGCAUGCAUCUGUCUGCAUUGGGUUAAUACUCCAGAAGCUGGUGAGCCACUGACUAACGCACAUUGUGCUGUUAAAGACUCCACUGUGCGUGUGACAGCGGCUAACCUGCUUUUCGGACAUCACUGUAUAUACUUCAUCACCCUGCCCCAUGAAGAGGCAAUACUGGAUCCUGGGGACUGUACCUAGCUUCCAUCAACAUGGUAGGAGAGCUGUUCGCAUCCCAGCAGCAGCCUCUGACAAAUUCACCAACCUGAACUAUUGUGAAAUCUUCAGAAAAGUUUGCUUGCAAUUUUCUUUCCCUUAAAACUCAAGCUGAGAGGGAGCACAGUAUCUUUUCUUAAAAUAAGUUCAUUGAUUGUACUAUGUUUAAUGAGUUUCCCUUGAUACGUGCGCCUUUCAGAUGCUCUGUGUAUUUACUUUUUUUUUUAAAUUAGCAACCUCUCAGUGGCAGAGCAUUGAAAGAUCUAAUGUUUCUGGGCCAUUCUGCAACAAGGAACCAGUGAACUGUAUAUAUUAUGACAUGAGCUAGGGCUGCUGUGACAGGAAGCAGUUAUAAAGUCUUCCUGGGAAGACAGCAAAUGCAAUAGCACAUCUUUGAGAAUGAGACCUCGCUUCCCUCCACCUCACCCAUUCCUUCCAAAAAGCUAGUGAUUUGGGGUUUUGUUUAAAUCAUGUUAGCUGGAGAAACUCUUCAUCCAGCCAGUAACAUCUUGGUACCCAGUCAAUGACUAAUUGAACUCCUGUGGGCCAAGGGUGUGUUAACAGAAUAAACUAUGCCUGGUAUUGCCCUAGUGAGUCACUUUAAAGACUCUUUAGUCUGUUUAAAGGUAAAGUAUAAACCAGUUUCACCCUCCAGUUUUUUUUCUUACCACCUUUGCAGUUUCUUGUAGCUGGCUGUGUCUUAAAUGAGGGCUCUGCUCUUUUCCAAGCCAGUUUUUCUCUCCUGGUUUGAUCCUGUGGUGAAGACUUACUGAUAAACACAAGUGAUUCCGUUCAUUUCUCUAGCAACAGAAUGUGAUGUCACAAAUGCAGAAUCAGCAUUUCAUUGCUUGCGUCAUGCGGAAAGCGAAGCUGGAAUGAGAGGGAAGUUUCAGAUAUUUGUGGUUGUAUUAAAUAGCAACAGUGAAGAGGAUAGAGGAAGUGACCAAGCAAAUUGCAUUUGGUAUAAAGUUCUUUCAGUUUUGCUCCAUUAUGGAAACUCACUAGCUACAGAGUUUUCUCUUGGGGUGUGGUGUGGGGCUGUUUUACCUCUAGAUAACUUCAUGAAUCCAAGCCAGGAGAUUCCAUUGGGAGAGAAACUUGCUCAUCCAUAAUCCACUAAGCAAAUCUCCCAGACUCCUCCAGGACAGAGCAAGAACCACUGAAAGAAAUCAUAAAGCAAGCCCUGCAAAGUCACUACAGCUUCAGAGAGCUCAUGUGUCAAAGGGAGAUGUCCAUUCAUUCCAACUGCAGGCCCUGAAAUCUGCCCCCUUCUAGGCCUGUGCAGCGAGAUGGAAGAGGAGCAUAGAAACACACAAAGACAAGAUGAGCAGUUUGGCCACCAGCAUCAUACAUGGAUGGCAGAUGCAUCUAACUGAGGCGCUCAAGCGAACAGCCUCCAGCUUCAAACAAGCAGGAUCUGAUGGCAGGGCAUCUGCAGUGAAAAGAUCCUUUAUUACAGACCUCACACUCCACCUUGGCCCAAGAGAGCCCAGAUCUGCUGACUGUUAAUUCUUGCCGCAAGGCUUUUGUUCUCAAGCUUUCUGGAUGGAGGAUGAGUAGGCUCAGAUCAGAUAUUAGUGGUGGGUCAUUCUGUGGAUAUUUAAUGUGUGCACGUGUGUGUGUGUGUGUAUGAUUUAUUUUUUUUAAAGAAUCAAACCUAGGGAAGCCAAUUAAAUGUUUCCACUUUGCCUGAUCACAUUAUGCCUAGUCCACCCUGCAUUUGUCAUCUAAUACAGUGCUCUGCACUUCCUGUCCUAAAGUGUUGUGCAAUAUUAAAAGCUGCCAUG